rnacentral:misc_RNA from 1 species
GUGAAUCAUCAAAUUUUUGAACGCAAAUUACACUCUCUUCGCAGCGUAUGAGUGUUUCAGGUUCAGCCUAAAUAAAAUCGACAUAGUUGCUGUUUCGCGGUGACAUUCGUCGGAAAUUGGGUCAUCUUAAACCUUUGGGUUUUAAGCGGCUUAUAGUUUUCUUUACUAUUUCCAGAACGUUUCUAAGCUUUUAUUUUCUUGUACUUUUAAGUUUUCGAUCUUUAUUACACCUC